rnacentral:tRNA from 1 species
UAGCUCAGUGGGAGAGCACUUGCCUAGCACGCAUGAGGCUCUAGGUUCCAUCCCUAG